rnacentral:rRNA from 1 species
GACAGAGGGUGCAAACGUUGCUCGGAAUCACUGGGCGUAAAGGGCGUGUAGGCGGGAAGGUAAGUCGGGCGUGAAAUCCCUGGGCUCAACCCCAGGAACUGCGUCCGAUACUGGUUGGCUUGAAUCCGGGAGAGGGAUGUGGAAUUCCAGGUGUAGCGGUGAAAUGCGUAGAUAUCUGGAGGAACACCGGUGGCGAAGGCGACAUCCUGGACCGGUAUUGACGCUGAGGCGCGAAAGCCAGGGGAGCAAACGGGG